UAGUUCCCAUAGCCUACACAAAUGCAUAUGAAAUGCUUAAUAUUUUGCUUGCACUAUUCUUUUCUGCUGGAAGGGUGGUUCUGACUAAAAAAUUUUACUUUCCCAUUCUUUGCUUUUUCAUUAAUGCUAUUUUCUUUGCCCCAGGGUUAUAGAGUGGAAAGUCCCACAAUCUUUUUCUUCUCUAUUUUCAGAAAAACGUUGACCUCUUGGCGAGAAUGCAAAGAAGGGAACGCUUGCUUAUACACUGUUGGUGAACUGUCACCCCUACAACUCAGCUUGCAACCAGCCCUGGCCACCACCGGUUUCCCCACACUGAGCUGAAUAUCGGACAUGCCCAUCUUAGACAUUCCAGCCCAUUCUGAAAUUCCACAUCGACUCACCCGACAAAGUCUGAAGUUCCAGGGCAAUUUAUCUGGAAAAGCUCACUUGGAAUCACGUGUCAUUUCAACCAACAACUGUUGAAGAGGACGUGGCAUUAAAACCAAGGGUAUCAAUUAUUUAUAA